CCAUUUGAGGGACCAUAACUUUGGUCCCCCUGAACAUAACUUCACCAAACUUGGGUGGUAUCAUCAGGGCAGUCUCUGGAUGAUGCCCUGAAAACAUGGUGCCGCUAGCUAUAAAAAUGUGCUCACUGCAAGCUGAAAAAACACCAAAAAUACCCC